UUGAGGGAUGUUUCGGGCCAUACAAUCGAUUCAAUCCAGCCGAUGUAUGAAGCAACUCGCGUGUAAAUCGAUGGUGUAUUCGAUCCGCAUCCACUGCCGAACGACGAAACGAUCCUUGUGGCAUUUUCACCGUGAAUAGAUCAUUGUCGAAAUAGGUUUGAUUGCACUUAUCCAGUGCUACCGUGUUCAGGUUGACCUUCAUCAGAAUGUUGGAAGUUUGUAGUGCUGGAAGAAAGGUUUAACCUGAGCAUGUAGGUUUACUAGCGACAGUUUAAAUUUUACUAUCAAGGCUAGUGAUACCAAAGCCUUCCGUGAGAAUGGAUUAUCGACAUCUGAGCUCUUCAAUGCCUUAAUGUAUUUGGCAGCCAAAGACACAACCACUAAGUAUUGUUGAGGAUGAAGGAUUCACAAAGUUUUGUAAAACGGCCGUGCCUUUAUACAAAUUACCGAGGAGGAGGACAUUUACAAGAAUGAUGAACACUAAAUACGAGAUCCUCAGCGGAGUAAUCAGGACAAAAUUGAGAACUAUUGAUCAAUUUAGUAUGACGGCCGAUAAAUGGACUAAAACAUCGAACAUGAAAAGUUAUUUGGGGAUGACAGUGCACUUUCUUGAAGGAAUCACAAUGAAAUCCGUUUCUCUUGCCGUUAUUCUAUUAGAAGGAUCUCUUUAUCUUGCUGACCGAAUGGGAAAUGUUUGUAGUGAAUGGAAUGUCCAAAAAUCUAAGAUAAAUGUACUUGUCACCGAAGGGGGGGCGAACAUAGUAGCUGCAGCCAAACAAGUUCUAGGAGAAAGUAAGCAUCUUGUAUGUGUUGACCAUUUUCUAAGUAGGAUGACAACCGUCGCCAUUGAAACGUCGCCACAAUUUAAAGAGUUGGUGGUUGAAG